UCUAAAGCUAGAUCGAGGUUAUCAAUUGCAAUGGUUGGAGAUCGCAGAUGAAAGGGACUGGAUGGAGGCCAUGGCUGGUUAAUGGAAUGUUGUUGAACAUCAAAGAGUGGCCAACUGAAGGGGAAAUAUUCAUGGCAGACUUUGAUUUAGCGAGGUUCUGGGUGCAAAUACAUGGAUUACCUGCAAGGUUCUUAUCUGAUGAAAAUGCACCGACGAUAGCAAAUAAAAUAGGCCAGAUGGUGAAAACAGAUGGAAAGAGGAACGAAGAGGUAGUAAGAAGAUGGUACAUAAGUAUUUGCAUUGAUGUGUGGGUAAGCCAUCCUAUACCUACAGGGUUCUUUUUUAAGGGAGAGGCUAGGGAAGAUCAAUGGAUUCAGUUUAAGUAUGAGAAGCUUCUGUUUCUAUGUUUCAACUCUUGCAAGCUUGCUCACCAAAAUAGGGCAUGUCUUGCCAAUACAGCAUGGGUGUAUCUGUCAAAGGGGAGAGAAUUGAGAAGGUAU